rnacentral:rRNA from 1 species
GAUGAACGCUAGCGAUAGGCCUAACACAUGCAAGUCGAGGGGCAUCACAUGAAGUAGCAAUACGGAUGGUGGCGACCGGCGCACGGGUGAGUAACACGUAUGCAACCUGCCUUCAACAAGGGGAUAACCCGUUGAAAGACGGACUAAUACCCUAUAACACAGGGGUCCCGCAUGGGGAAUAUUUGUUAAAGGACAACCGGUUGAAGAUGGGCAUGCGUUCCAUUAGCUAGUUGGCGGGGUAACGGCCCACCAAGGCAACGAUGGAUAGGGGAACUGAGAGGUUUAUCCCCCACACUGGUACUGAGACACGGACCAGACUCCUACGGGAGGCAGCAGUGAGGAAUAUUGGUCAAUGGACGCAAGUCUGAACCAGCCACGUCGCGUGAAGGAAGACGGCCCUACGGGUUGUAAACUUCUU